GUUGUUGUUGCAACAAUAAAUUGGCAAUUUGCUUGUUAUUACUUCCACUUGCUUAAAGAUGCUCAUGCUUUUUCAUUUUUCUCCAGAUAUUUUCCUCACAAUUGUAAGACCUUGAAAGUUCCUUAACAUUUUGAGGUUGAUGUAAUUGUUCGGGAACCUCAGAUUUGAAGAUAAAUAGCACCAAGUAUCCUAUAGCAUACAAAAGAAGUUGCAUGACCAUGUAGAUUGUCAUGACUGUCUUCUCUUCAGUCACAGAUUACUGGCAGAAGGAUUUUUGCUGCAAGGCAUAAGGAAAGGUGCAAAAGAAAAUCCGACAUCUUCGCUCACAAGGAGAGAUGCCUGGACAGGGUUUACAGUCCAUCAACGCCGUAAGAGCAGGGGUGAUGUAAGACAAGGCGACAGCACUCAAGCCCAAAACCUGACGGAUGGACUCUCUUGGAAGGAAGGGAUUCUUCUUUCCAAUUCCUUCAGUUUGGGGACCUGACGUGGUCCCUUCCAAACUGAGUUUACUGUGUCUUGGCUAUCUGGAGAAGGAUUUAUCUGCUUCUGUAUCCUCCUAAAUCUCCUAAAGAGUAGCUAUCCUUCAAAAUAUGAUAUUCCUGAAUGGUGCAAAAUAUGGUACUCCAAGUGUAUGGUUCUGUAACUUGAUCCCUUGAAAUAUCAUAUAUUAUCUGUCACACAUGUAGCAUAGCAAGCACUGUAUUUGCCUUUGAAGAUUCUUCAGUCUCUCCUGAACUAGUGUUAACAGGCUAUGGCUUGCUUGUUUCUAAUGGUUUUGCAAAUGCCUGUGAUGCUGUGUAGUUCUUGGAGGCUCUCCUGGAGGUGUUAAAUGCUAGGUUAGAACAUGCCUCAGGGAAUACUGAGCUUGGCUACAGCUAUAGCUGUGCAACAAAUAUUAUCCAUAUAAAAUAAUUGCA
rnacentral:lncRNA from 1 species